rnacentral:misc_RNA from 1 species
GAUGAAGAACGUAGCAAAAUGCGAUAAGUAGUGUGAAUUGCAGAAUUCAGUGAAUCAUCGAAUCUUUGAACGCACAUUGCGCCCGCCAGUAUUCUGGCGGGCAUGCCUGUUCGAGCGUCAUUACAACCCUCAGGCCCCCGGGCCUGGCGUUGGGGAUCGGCGGAAGCCCCCUGUGGGCACACGCCGUCCCUCAAAUACAGUGGCGGUCCCGCCGCAGCUUCCAUUGCGUAGUAGCUAACACCUCGCAACUGGAGAGCGGCGCGGCCAUGCCGUAAAACACCCAACUUCUGAAUGUUGACCUCGAAUCAGGUAGGAAUACCCGCUGAACUUAAGCAUAUCAAUAAGCGGAGGA